GACGAACGCUGGCGGCGUGCUUAACACAUGCAAGUCGAGCGAUGAAGCUCCUUCGGGAGCGGAUUAGCGGCGGACGGGUGAGUAACACGUGGGUAACCUGCCUCAUAGAGGGGAAUAGCCUUUCGAAAGGAAGAUUAAUACCGCAUAAGAUUGUAGCUUCGCAUGAAGUAGCAAUUAAAGGAGUAAUCCGCUAUGAGAUGGACCCGCGUCGCAUUAGCUAGUUGGUGAGGUAACGGCUCACCAAGGCGACGAUGCGUAGCCGACCUGAGAGGGUGAUGGGCCACAUUGGGACUGAGACACGGCCCAGACUCCUACGGGAGGCAGCAGUGGGGAAUAUUGCACAAUGGGGGAAACCCUGAUGCAGCAACGCCGCGUGAGUGAUGACGGUCUUCGGAUUGUAAAGCUCUGUCUUCAGGGACGAUAAUGACGGUACCUGAGGAGGAAGCCACGGCUAACUACGUGCCAGCCGCCGCAGUAA
rnacentral:rRNA from 1 species